GACGUAGGGCGCGAGCGGUUGUCCGGAUUUAUUUGGGCGUAAAGAGCUCGUAGGCGGCUUGUCGCGUCGGUCCCGUGAAAACCUAGCGAGCUCAACUGCAGGCUUGCGGGCGAUGACGGGCAGGGCUAGAGUUCGGAUGAGGGGAGACGUGGAAUUCCUGGUGUAGCGGUGAAAUGCGCAGAUAUCAGGAAGAACACCCGUGGCUAAGGCGGCUCUCGUAGUACGGUACUGACGCUGAGACGCGAAAGCGUGGGGAGCGAACAGGG
rnacentral:rRNA from 1 species